rnacentral:lncRNA from 1 species
GAGUCAUCGAAUUUUAUCAUGGGAGAGGUUUUAAAUUUUUUGAUUUUCGGGUGUCGGUGGUCAUCGCCAGCCAUCGGUUUGGGUUCCUUCGGAUGGCGGGUCACCCUCCUCUUGCCAUCGGCCAUCCCCGUGUCGGUCGAUCAUUGGUCGGUGAACCAAACGAGGAGGGACCAUUCGAUCCCCUAUUUCACCCAAAGAGGGCCACGGC